rnacentral:rRNA from 1 species
CCGGCCAUAUCACGUUGAAACACCGGUUCUCGUACGAUCACCGAAAUUAAGCAAUGUCGAGCCUGGUCAGUACCUAGAUGGGUGACCGCUUGGGAAUAUCAGAUGCUGUAAU